CGAACGCUGGCGGCGUGCUUAACACAUGCAAGUCGAACGAUGAAGUUCCUUCGGGAAUGGAUUAGUGGCGAACGGGUGAGUAACACGUGAGUAACCUGCCCUUGACUCUGGGAUAAGCCUGGGAAACUGGGUCUAAUACCGGAUACGACCAUUCCACGCAUGUGGUGGUGGUGGAAAGCUUUUGUGGUUUUGGAUGGACUCGCGGCCUAUCAGCUUGUUGGUGGGGUAAUGGCCUACCAAGGCGACGACGGGUAGCCGGCCUGAGAGGGUGACCGGCCACACUGGGACUGAGACACGGUCCAGACUCCUACGGGAGGCAGCAGUGGGGAAUAUUGCACAAUGGGCGCAAGCCUGAUGCAGCGACGCCGCGUGAGGGAUGACGGCCUUCGGUUGUAAACCUCUUUCAGUAGGAAGAAGCGUAAGUGACGGUACCUGCAGAAGAAGCGCCGGCGUAACUACACGCCAGCCG
rnacentral:rRNA from 1 species